GCUUCCCCUCCCCCGCAUCCCGGAAGUGCCCCAAAUGGAGUUGUUAUCCUGACUCAGGCCAGCUUUGUGUGGCUCGGCUGCUGGAGAACGCUACUUGCUAUCCCCCAGGGCCGUCGAGGGUGAGCUUCGGAGUCAGAAGAGGGGGCAACGACUCGGAGGGAGAGACCGGCCUCUUAGCCAUACCCUGCGGAGUACGAAGAAAUGCCCCGGCCUCCGCCAUCAACGGCGGCCGCUGCCCGCAGUGUUCCCGUGCGACUGGAAUAGGAUCCUAGGAGUUUAAUGACCUGCCCUGCUCAGAAACCGUAGUCCCAAAUGUUUGGAGCCGUAUUUGGCUGUCAGAUUUAAGGCAAAAAGAAAGCAGAUUAGGCAGACAUUCUUCGGUUCUGGCGAUAGAAAUGAGAGCAUGACGUGUUUCAGCCACGCGCUUUGCCUCUGAGCAUCCAUUCCACUUGAUUUUUUUCUUUAAAAAAAAAAAAAUUGCACCGUUGAGACCGAGUUUUGCAAAAAUGACCGAUGCUAUUCUGUAGCCCGAGGAUCUUGCCAGCCAGCCUCCUGUCUCGGUCUGGAAUAACUGGGAUCACAGGCCGGUGCCAUCAGACCACCAGCCUUCCUUAUUAGGCGUUCUCUGGAUCGGUUGAGCUAGCACCAGUCUUGAACUUGUCAGAGACCAUCUCUCACUAAUUAAAGGAAGAGCUUUGAACACUUCAGCACAUCCGGGUUUGUUGUAAGCAGAACCCCCUCUGCCCAUGGAUGGCCUUUUAAUUCUGGGCUUGUUGUAAGCAGAAAAAGAUGAGAGGGUGGAAGAGAGUUAAGUGUCUGCCCAGGCAAAAGUGAAGGAGUGGAAAAAGAACACGCAGGGAACUUGGGAAGUGUCCUGAAGGUUCUGCUCCUUUUUUGAUGCUAGAAAUGGAACCCGGGGUCUUGUGCGUGUUAAGUAUUGCUGAUCCACUCAGCUAUAUUUUACCCCUAGAGUAUUUAUCUCAAACAGGUAAUAAAAUGUAAGCAGAUUGUGUGUGGGUGGGUGGGGGGUGGAGGAGUGGUAAAGCUGCUUGCUGCCCAGACCCCACAUGGUAGAAAAAGAGAACUGAUACCUGCCAAGUGUCACUUGGACCACCAUACACGCUCUGAAAGUGCAGGCGCAACAUACACAAGUUGUUAAAAACAACAAAAAUAAACCAGGCAUUGGUGGCGAACGCCUUUAAUCCAAGGACGCUUGGGAGGCAGAGGCAGGCGGACCUCAGUACUCGAGGCCAUAUAGAACAAGUUCCAGGACAGUCAGGGCUACACAGAGAAACCCAGGCUCAGGAGAACCAACCAACCAAUUAAUUAAAAAAUAAUAAUAAGUAAAUAAAUUGAAACAGAUUUUCAAGGUGUAUA
rnacentral:lncRNA from 1 species